UGUGAGAGGAUCUGUGGAAGGAGAACUCCCCAUUCAUCACGCCGACAAGCGAAAUUUCGGCAUUUCUGCGAAGUUCACUCCGUUGUCUACACAACAGCCCAGCGAGCAUGGCAAGAUAUCCGUCUUGUCACCGAAUAUGAGGAAACUGUUUUGGGACACUGAAACAAAACUGAUGUUCUUCCAUUAGUUUGUGGACAGUUAGAAAGCAUGGUCUGAUUAAGGAGCCGUGUCUUUGCCGAGCCACGAACGCCGUCAAGAUUUCAGUUCGGCAUUUUCAAGAGACAAACUUAUGUCAAACUCAAGCGAAAACGCAAACCAGACGAUAGGCCUCCGAACAGCUGGCCUUCGUGACUGAAUUGAAGUUGAACUUUGCUGCUGUGUUGUGGUCUGAAAGACGAUUUUGGACAUGCUGGUGGAGACCAUUUAACAGUUUAAGCUUCACCUUCAAGGACAAGAACUUUGUGAGGUCGUCAUUGCAAAGUGCAUCACCCAGUGCAGGAGUUACUGCAGAGAUAAACGUCAGAUGAUGUGAUUCCGGGUCUCUUAUCAAGACUAAGAUGAUGGUGCUUGCUCAAGGAAGAGAAAAAAGUGAUGCCUGAACACCAGUCGCGGACCCAUUCCCUUAAAAUGAAGCAAGACAUUUUACACUCAAUUAUGAUUGUAUAGGUCAUUUGGAAUGUACAUAUAUUACCUAAGAUUCUCUUCAGGGCUGCUUAUUGACAUAAAUACUUUCAGUUCUUAUGCCUAAAAAUCUGAACAAUAGGCAGCAUUAAGUUCAUUAUGAUGAAACAUAUAGAUUUAUAUAUUAAAGGAAUUGUUUUGAGCAUUGGAGCAGUCACAAUAUUUGAUGAAAGAUGAAACAUAAAAACAUCAAGGAGUGUUGUGUCAUAUUUCUAGGGGAAGGAAAUUUCUUUCCUGCCUGGGCCUUGCUAACCUCAUCUUUGCAGUGGUUCUGUGAAGAGGUUGCAUCCUUGUUUCAGGACCAGGCAAAGGUAUUGUCAGUCUUUCUCUACUUAUUCCUGUGCAGCAUUCCUUUCAACAAAUGAGUUUUUAAUCGAGUCCGUAAUGUCUUGUAAUGUACAGGACAUCCCAGGUUGCAGUGUCAAGCAUGAUGCACAUCAAGUACCAUGUGCUACCUUGUGCUGCUGCAACUGAUAAACUUCACCUUGUACUAGUUGAGCCGUAAGUCAUGUGACUUGUGUUUCUCACAUGCAGCAUGCAUUUCUCCAAUGUGGUUUUCUUGUAUUUUUCUGUAAGUCCAGUCAGUAGUGAUUGGCAAAUGUAACAGACUUUUGAAACUGUUUUUCAAAAGUCCCUUUGAAGCAGUUGUUCCAGUGCUGGGUUUGGUUAAGUGACUGUAAGACCAAUCAGUGGAGAUUGGCACUAGGUGAAGGA